rnacentral:rRNA from 1 species
AACGAACGCUGGCAGCAUGCCUAACACAUGCAAGUCGAACGAGACCUUCGGGUCUAGUGGCGCACGGGUGCGUAACGCGUGGGAACCUGCCCUUAGGUUCGGAAUAACUCCCCGAAAGGGGUGCUAAUACCGGAUAAUGUCUUCGGACCAAAGAUUUAUCGCCUUUGGAUGGGCCCGCGUUGGAUUAGCUAGUUGGUAGGGUAAAAGCCUACCAAGGCGACGAUCCAUAGCUGGUCUGAGAGGAUGAUCAGCCACACUGGGACUGAGACACGGCCCAGACUCCUACGGGAGGCAGCAGUGGGGAAUAUUGGACAAUGGGCGAAAGCCUGAUCCAGCAAUGCCGCGUGAGUGAUGAAGGCCUUAGGGUUGUAAAGCUCUUUUACCCGGGAUGAUAAUGACAGUACCGAGAGAAUAAGCUCCGGCUAACUCCGUG